UGCGGAGGUGGUCUUUUAAGUCAGAAGUGAAAGGCAUUGGCUCAACCAAUGUAAGCUUUUGAAACUGAAAGACUUGAGUGCAGGAGAGGUAAGUGGAAUUCCUAGUGUAGCGGUGAAAUGCGUAGAUAUUAGGAGGAACACCAGUGGCGAAGGCGACUUACUGGACUGUUACUGACACUGAGGCACGAAAGCGUGGGGAGCGAACAGGAUUAGAUACCCUGGUAGUCC
rnacentral:rRNA from 1 species